rnacentral:rRNA from 1 species
GAUGAACGCUGGCGGCGUGCCUAAUACAUGCAAGUCGAGCGAACAGAUGAGGCUCUUGCUCCUCUGACGUUAGCGGCGGGCGGGUGAGUAACACGUGGAUAACCUCCCUAUAAGACUGGUAUCACUUCGGGAAACCGGAGCUAAUCCCGGAUAAUAUCUUGCACCGCAUGGUUCGAUAGUGAAAGACGGUUUUGCUGUCACUUAUAGCUGGAUCCGCGCCGCAUUAGCUAGUUGGUACGUUAACGGCUUUCCAAGGCAACGAUGCGUAGCCGACCGGAGAGAGGGAUCGGCGACAUGGGAACGGAGACAGGGUCAAGACUCCUAAGGGAGGCAGCAGUAGGGAACCGGCCGCAAUGGGCGAAAGCAUGACGGAGCAAGGCGGCGUGAGUGAUGAAGGCGUCCGGAGCGUAAAACUCGCUUACUAGUGAAGAACAAAUGUGUAAGGAAAUAUGCAGGGCGUGACGGUAACUAAUCAGAAAGCCACGGCUAACUACGUG